UUCCCACCCACAGUGGAAGACGUGAAGCAUUUCUUAUCUUCAAUAUGGAGAGACUGGCCUCUUUCAAACACAGAUUGGGAUACAACCAUCUCCAGGCUCCAUUUGCCCUGAUGAACUUCACCUGGACCUGUUGCCUCUCACCCCACAUCUCCCUUCCCUGUGCUGCAUUUAAGCUCAGGCUCCCAGCAUUAUUCUUCUCCUGGUUGAGCUGUGCUCUUGGCUUCCUGUUUGUCCUUGGAUUUGCUUCAUCACUGGACUGCUUUUCCUUGCUUUGAUCCUGUACUUCGUUGAUAGUGAUGCUGCUGCCCGCUUUGCUUCCUCAUUCUUUGGAGUUGCUUCUCAAUGCUGCAGCCCCAGGUAGGUCAGGCUGUUUCACUUUCCUUACCUCUGAGUGUGAAGGAGUUGGCUGCUCGUCCCCAUUCAUCCUACUGGUGUGUGCCAGGCUGCUGUGGGAUUAGGAGCUGAUUUUCAGUGCUCAGAGUGAAAUGUUGCUUCCUGCUGCUGGCAGAGCUUUGAAGUGCUGCAGGUUGCCUGUGACAUAUUCAGCAGCGUGGCUUAAGGAGGGGAUGUGGGGCCAGGAUGUGUCAUGGGAAAAGAUCUGAGGAGGCACAGAAAUAGAAAUAAGGAUAAAGAACAGAGGUAAGGAGAACUGGAAGCAGUUGGUGGAGAACUGCACUAAGGUGAUGAGAAGCCAGCGCAGCAGCUGCUCAGUGCACCUGGUAUCCCAGCAUGUUUAAUGAGGUGCUGCUAACCUUGGGUUGGUUUCUUUAAGUAAAUGUUAUAAUAAGGUGUGGGAAACUGCUCUGUUAGGCAUUCAGGUUUUGUGCUGGUGCCUUUAGUUGGGAUGUUGAGGUGUUUUUUGGUGAAAGAUGUUGUGGUUUUCAUGGAUGCACUGAGGGGCCGAGCAAUGCUUUUAUCCAGCUCUGAGAGGCUGAGGCCUUGCAGUGAGCUCAGGGCAAUGUUCUGCUCUGCACGCCCACACAGCUCUUUUCUGUUUCACCCAUGGCUUUGAGAAGUGCUAGAGCAGCCUUAAUAUAGAUGGUGAAAGAGAGAAGGUGUAAAAAAACAAAACAGUUUAAACCAUUUCUGCAUAGUUUGCUCUAUUUUUAGUCCCAAUUUGAGGAAUGAAUGUAGGUCAGAAAUGGGGGAGUUUGCAUUUUUCUUGUUGUGUAUGAAAAAAUCAAGGGAAUUCUGGAGAAAUGGAACAGCCCUGGAAAGGACAACAGGUCUACCAAGCACAGAGCUGCUGCCUGAGGAGUGGAGUCAUUGGGUGGU
rnacentral:lncRNA from 1 species